rnacentral:pre_miRNA from 1 species
UGUGCACCGGUGGGGUCCCUUGGCCUGGCCUGCACCUUCUUGCAAUCUAGGACCACUCAAGGGAUGUCGGAGACCCUGUUUUGGCCCAAUCCUGCAGGCCAGGCCAAGGGACCCCACUGGUGCACA